rnacentral:rRNA from 1 species
UACGGAGGGUGCAAGCGUUAUCCGGAUUCACUGGGUUUAAAGGGUGCGUAGGCGGACAGGUAAGUCAGUGGUGAAAUCUUCGAGCUUAACUCGGAAACUGCCGUUGAUACUAUUUGUCUUGAAUUGCGUUGAGGUGAGCGGAAUAUGUCAUGUAGCGGUGAAUGCUUAGAUAUGACAUAGAACACCGAUUGCGAAGGCAGCUCACUAAGCGCCGAUUGACGCUGAGGCACGAAAAGCGUGGGGGAU